rfam:Ixodes scapularis strain Wikel colony gcontig_1108379410280, whole genome shotgun sequence.
UAGCUCAUACCUCUCCUCAAUACUACGAGAUAGCCUUUCGCCUUUUACUAAAGACUACCGUGGGGAGGGGCAGUCCAAUGAGCCUAUAGGUGAAUUUUUGAAAGGCUGCUACCGUUUGGUAGUAG